AAAAUGGUUUGAAAUCGAAGAAGAUGAACGAAAUGCUGCUGGAUAAUCCUCUCAACAUAAAUUAUACUCUCAACAAUGACAUUUUCUCUUACAAGAACAAGACCAGCACACCUGAAACUGCCAAAAUCAGUUGAAUCCAAAUACCAGAGUUGAUGAUUCUAUAUGCAGAGUUUGGCGGGGCAAUUCCUGGAGCAUGUCCUCCUCCAGUCAAUUCAGAUUUUGGAGAGUCUGCAGCAGGGCUAAUCUCAGGAGCUGGUGCUGGGGCAGGAGUUGGAGGUAUAUCAGCACCAAAAAUUGCUUCUGGCAGAAGCACUUUAUCAACUUGAUAGAUUGCAACAGGAUCAGUUGAAUGCACACUACUGCUAACUUUAGUUUUAGACCAUCCUGAAUCAAGGUGCACAGUUCCAGAUACAUCCGUAAAGUUUAAACUAAAUUCACCAGAACCGGCAAAUGUGCUAACAGGAC
rnacentral:misc_RNA from 1 species